GCUGUGUCAUCUGGCCAGACUGCUGGUUUAGUCAAGUGAGAAGAGGAAAACAGGAAGUCAUCGUGAACUUUAAACUGCUUGUUGCUAAUAUACUACUAAGUAACUUGGGUUUGGUGUUCCAGGGCUUCAGGUAGAAAAAUGGAGAAGUUUUCUGUUUCUGUGAAUGUUGCAGCAAACAGCAGUGUCAAAUUUAUUCUCACCCAUGAGGAACUUCUUCAGCGACAUUUUGGCAAAUAUGAGCUCAUGAUCAGAGUCAAACCCAAACAGCUGGUCCAGCACUUUGAGAUUGUAGCAGAUAUUUAUGAACCUCAGGGAAUUGCAUUUUUGGAGGCAUUCGGUACAUUCAUCACCAAUGAACUGCUCUCUCUAGUGAAGAAAACUGUCACUGACAAGAAGGUGACGAUUCAAAUAUCUUUGCAUGGAUGGAUACCAAUUUAUACCAGUAUAAAGCAUUAUCAGUAUACUAAAUAAUGCUAGUAACUAAGAAGGAUCUCCAUUAGUCAAUAAUAAUGGUGAUAAUGAUAAUAAUUUGAUCCUUUGUUCAGGCCUUCCCCAGUCAUAUCAUUAGGAUGAUAAAGACACGCAUGAAAUAACGUAAAAUGGACAAAUGAAAAGAAUACUUUUCUGUGGCCUGCUGCUUAACACACAUGCUCUGAUAUGUUAACGUUUGAAUUUGUUCAUCCAUUCUACCUUCUAUUUCCUUUACUCUUUGUGCUUUUCCAAUAAAUAAAAAUAAACUAUAAAGCUAUAAAUAAUAUAUGUACCAUCUACAGAUUGUGAACGGACACUUUGCGCAUUGCGCAUUUCGUAUUUUUAACCAGCUUUGUUGAAUGGCGGCCACAUUUAAGCAAAGCAACACAGGAAAAUGUGAAAGCAGCCCAGGAAUAUGUCAAAACAAUUAAAGUGAUUGGUAAUACUGAAUUGCUGAUGCUGUCAUACAUGGUGGGAAGAUGCUGUAUGAAGAGCAGCGUAACGGUACAGCCCCAAAGAACAUGGUACUGAUGAUCAUUUUGCUGACUGAUGGGGAACCAAACAGGUAUCCGAGAACUCUUCCUGAG